rnacentral:rRNA from 1 species
UACAGAGGGGGCGAGCGUUGUUCGGAAUUACUGGGCGUAAAGGGCGCGUAGGCGGCCAACUGAGUCAGACGUGAAAUCCCUCGGCUCAACCGGGGAACUGCGUCUGAUACUGGAUGGCUUGAAUUCGGGAGAGGGAUGCGGAAUUCCAGGUGUAGCGGUGAAAUGCGUAGAUAUCUGGAGGAACACCGGUGGCGAAGGCGGCAUCCUGGACCGAGAUUGACGCUGAUGCGCGAAAGCGUGGGGAGCAAACAGG